rnacentral:rRNA from 1 species
GACGAACGCUGGCGGCGUGCUUAACACAUGCAAGUCGAACGGAAAGGCCCUGCUUUUGUGGGGUGCUCGAGUGGCAAACGGGUGAGUAACACGUGAGUAACCUGCCCUUGACUUUGGGAUAACUUCAGGAAACUGGGGCUAAUACCGGAUAGGAGCUCCUGCUGCAUGGUGGGGGUUGGAAAGUUUCGGCUGUUGGGGAUGGACUCGCGGCUUAUCAGCUUGUUGGUGGGGUAGUGGCUUACCAAGGCUUAGACGGGUAGCCGGCCUGAGAGGGUGACCGGCGACAUUGGGACUGAGAGACGGCCCAGACGCGAACGGGAGGCAGCAGUGGGGAACAUGGCCCAAUGGGCGGAAGUCUGAUGCAGCAACGUCGCGUGCGUGAAGACGGCCUUCGGGUUGUAAACCGCUUUCGCCUGAGACGAAGCGUUAGUGACGGUAACGGGUAAAGAAGCACCGGCUAACUACGUG